UAGUCAACCAAUAACUCAAUUCCAAUUAUCUCAACAAAUUAUACAACCUUCAUUAUCAAACUAUCAGCUUACUCAAUCUCAAAUUCUAGCAAUGCCCAACAUGCAGUCUGCUAAUACCAUAUCAAGCAAUAUGUUUACUCAGUCUCAGUUCUUUGUCACAAACUCUCAACCAACUUUA